GGUAGAUUCUGGACUUCAAGAGAAAUUCGUGGAGCCUAUUUUGACAGAAUUUGGUUGAGGUUAGCUUGGUCAAUUUGGCUUUUUACUGUGCUGUUGGUGUUUUUUGACUGAAUCUGUGAAUUUGUAGGUUUUCUUGGUGCAAUCUUUGGAGGAAGCUGGGUUUUGGACCAGAGGGUGAUACUCCAUCACAGUUCACAGGAUUUGGGACCCCUUCUCACCUGAUUUGAAGAUUGGAAGGUGAAGUUGACGUUGUGAUUAAGGUGAAUUUAAGCUUAAAUGCUGAAUUUGUGUGUAGUAAUGGGAUUUUUGGUGUUUUUAAUGUUUAGAUCCUUCGAGUAGCAUAGUUGC
rnacentral:lncRNA from 1 species